CUCCCUCCCAUCCUCCCUUCCACCCUCCUCCUCCCUCCUCCUCCUUCUUCUUCCUUGUUGCUCCUCCUCCUGCCUGUCCCUCCCCAUCUCCCUCCUAUACUCCAUUCCUCUGCCCUCAUCCUUCCUCCUCAUCCUUGUCCCUCCUCACCUCCCUCCCAUCUUCCCUUCCUCCCUCCUCCUCCUCCUCCUGCCUCCUUCACCUCCUCCUAGUCCUUCCUCCUCCUGCUUGUCCCUCCCCACCUCUCUCCCUUCCUCCCUCCUCCUGCUUGUCCCGCCGCACCUUCCUCCCUUCCUCCCUCCUACUCCUGCCUCCUCCUCCUCCUUGUCCAUCCUCCUCCUCCCUGUCCCUCCCCACCUCUCUCCCGUCCUCCCUUCCUCCCUCCUCCUUGUCCCUCCUCCUUCUCCUUGUCCCUCCCCACCUCCCUUCCAUCCUCCUCUCUCUCCUGCCCCUUCUCCACUUUGAUCUGGAGCUGCUGCCCGGGCUGAUGCUGAGGGUGACUCUUGGUGACCAGACACUGCAGAUCAAGGCCAGCACAACUGAGCCCACAGUGCUGAGCGUGCAUCCCCCACGUGCAGCCCCCACAACUGCAAGAGUCUCCCAAGGUGAUGAUCAGAGCCUCCAGAGUGGAUAAGCCUGUGGGCCCUGGAAGCUGACCUCUUCCAACUGCACCGACAGCACCCUUGAUUCUGCCAAUGGGGGUCCAGCAGGAAGUCGGGGGAGCGGAGGAGUGAGGCCAGGGGCUCUGUGGGGUCUCCCCAGACUGGCUGCUGCCCUGGCUGCUCUGGGACUGUGGGCGAGUUGCCAAGGCUUUCUGGCCAGAGGUGGGAAUCCUCCAGCUUCUCUCCCAGGCUGGCCCCGCCUCCACGACCCUCCUUUCAGGCCCCCACGGCCCCCACUAAGGCCUGGGGCACCAGCCCUCAGCCCUCAAUGCUUUGGACUACUUCCUGUCCUGUUCUGCAGGUGCACUCACCUCCGCAGCAGAACACACACUGAGGGCCGAAGCUCCUCCUCCUGCGGCACGGAGUCCCCACCUGUGUGCCGGUUUCCUGGAGACUCUGCCCUGCUACUUGGACCCAGAGGAAGGCAGAUGUUUGGACCAGGAGCUCUCGACCUUGCACAUUGCAGUCAGCGGGGGCUCCGCAGAGUCUGAUGCCCAGGCUGUACCCCAGGGUUUCUGCCUCCAGUGGUCUGAGGCGGGGACAGCUGCUAGGCAUUUAAAUGCUACCCUGGAAACUCCAAGGUGCACCCAGGACAGAGAACCAUGUGCUGAAAAUGCUGAGUGUCAGUGCGGAGGUGGGAUGUGCGAGGGCCAUGAUUUACCUCCACAGCCACAACAUGCCAGUAGCAUUUUUUCUAUAAAUGCAAAUGUUUUAGAUAGUAGUAUUCAAAUUAUUUGAAACAGGACUAUCUUUUUAAAAAAUAGUAUCCCUUUAAAAAUCUUUUUUUUUUUUCUUUCUGUGGCAGGGCCUCACUCUGUUGCCCAGGCUGGAGUGCAGCCACACCAUCUCGGCUCACUGCAGUCUCUACCUCUUGGGCUCAAGUGAUCUUCCCGCCUCAGCCUCCUAAGUAGUCACCACACUCAGCCAAUUUUUAAUUUUUUUUUUUCUGGAGAUGAAGUCUCACUCUGUUGCCCAGGCCAAAGUGCUGAGAUUACAGGAGUGAGCUACCGCACCUGGCCAAAAAUCCAAACUAAUAUUUAAUAAUAACAGAAUGGUUACUUCAUACCAGGCACUGUUCUCAGCAUUUUGCCUAUUUUGGCAUUUAAACUUUGCAGCAGUAGGCUGAGGUAAAAACUAUAGUUGUCCCAUUUUACAUAGGGGAAUAGAGGCAGGGAGAGGGCAGGUUGCCAGAGGCCAGGUCACUGGCUAGGACAUGGCUGGACUUUGGCUGGGAUUGGGGGGCAGGUGGGCUCCACACCUGUGCACAUAACCAGCCACACCCAGCCCUGCAGUGCCUUGUUACCAUCGCCUAAGCAGUGUGAUGCUUGACAGGAUAUGCUUGAGUACUGUUUUAUGAUCUCCAGUUCACAUAAAAAUCAAUAUGGAGGCCAGGCGCGGUGGCUCACACCUGUAAUCCUAGCACUUUGGGAGGCUGAGGUGGGUGGGUUGCCUGAGCUCAGGAGUUUGAGACCAGCCUGGGCCACCCGGUGAAACCCCGUCUCUACUAAAACACAAAAAAUUAGCCAGGCGUGGUGGCAUGCACCCGUAGUCCCAGCUACUUGGGAGGCUGAGGCAGAAGAAUUACUUGAAGUCGGGAGGCAGAGGUUGCAGUGAGCUGAGAUUGCACCACUGCACUCCAGCCUGGGCAACAGAGUGAGACUCCAUCUCAAAAAAAAAAAAAAAAACCAAUAUGGAAUAUUGAAACAAAAAGCUAUUCUGUACAUACUACUUAAAGUCAUUUGGCCACCAGAAACAGAGAUCUUGCUCUUUGGGAAAUAACGGGAUAGAAAGAGUGCUUGCAUGGGAAUUUGUUUCACAUUUGAAUACUAGAUCCGCCCCAUAGGCACGGGGCCUGUCACCUUCCUGAGUGCCAGGGUCCAAGCAGCUGUAAGAUGGAGAUAAUGACACAGACUUCAGAGGGAUCCUGAGAUGGGAGGUGAAAUGCUAACCAAAGCACUGAACAGGCUGGUUUCCUAGCAGAGGCUGCAGUUCUCAGCUAUUGGCGGCCAAUGGGGGUAGUAAAGGGGAUACCACUUUGUGAACCUUUUAACCUGGGCCUCUGUCAAGAUGGGAGGAUCAUUGACUGGUUAGUCUAUAAAUAGGGCCAAAGAGACCUAAGAGAAUUUCAUGGAAUUGUAACCUUCUGUCCUCCAAAUAAUCUCAAAGGCAAUAAACCUUGCUUGCAGAUCAAGGGUUUUCAAUGUUUUUAUGACCCAGCUCCCCUCUAAUGACUUUUCCGGCAUUUCCCAAACAUCACUGAGCCCCAAGCCCCC
rnacentral:lncRNA from 1 species